rnacentral:tRNA from 1 species
GCGUGGCUGGCUCAGUCGGUAGAGCAUGCAACUCUAAAUUUUGGGAUCAUGAGUUCAAGUCCCAUGUUGGGCG